CCUACGGGAGGCUGCAGUGGGGAAUAUUGCUCAAUGGGGGGAACCCUGAUGCAGCAACGCCGCGUGGAUGAUGAAGUACUCCGGUAUGUAAAGCCCUGUCAGCAGGGAAGAAAAUGACGGUAUCUGACCAAGAAGCCCCGGCUAACUACGUGCCAGCAGCCGCGGUAAUACGUAGGGGGCAAGCGUUAUCCGGAUUUACUGGGGGUAAAGGGAGCGUAGACGGGAAGGCAAGUCUGGAGUGAAAGCCCGUGGCCCAACCACGGGACUGCUUUUGAAACUGUGUUGCUGGAGUGCAGGAGGGGUAAGCGGAAUUCCUGGUGUAGCGGUGAAAUGCGUAGAUAUUAAGAGGAACACCGAUGGCGAAGGCGGCUUGCUGGACUGUAACUGACGUUGAGGCUCGAAGGCGUGGGGAGCAAACAGGAUUAGAUACCCUUGUAGUC
rnacentral:rRNA from 1 species